GAGUUUGAGCAUGCAGACCAAGAUUAAAUCAUAACCAGAGUCUGUCUGAAACCUUGUCUGCCAGUAAGAACAGCAGCCGAGUUAAGAUGUAUCACAGCAAUGAGCUGCCUCACUAAAGCUGACUGAACAUUGAGUCUUGACUGCCUGUUUAUGACUGCACGUAACCUUUUCAAAAGCACCCAAAUACCUUAGGAGCUUGAUUCUCACUGCAAGUUGGAUAGCUGAAGGUUCCCGCAACCACUUCUGUUUUCCUGGAUACCUGUCAACUGUUCACACUCAGAGACCUUGGAAGGGUAACCAACUUCGAAGAUUUUGUAGCCGGCUUUUUGCCUGAAGGGAAACUGUUGAGUUUCAUCUUAUCCCUGUCGUGGUUAAUUUCAGGACACUGGGAAAGACCCCGAGCUCUAAACGCUGGAUUAAGAUCUUCACUUCAGCAGCUGAGACAAUCACAGGAAACUGGGAAAAAGAGUCCUGAGGGCAGAAAGAAAGAAGAUCUACCUGGUGGUGGCAGAACAAAAAGAUUAUACAACCAUGCAAGAAGAAUGUUAUUUAAGAGAAUCCUCAAAGGCCACUCUAAGGAUUGCUGCUGAGAAUAAAGCAUCUGAGAUGGAUAAUGUUCUUACAACAAAAGAGUUUAAAAGGUUCAGUCUUGCAAGAUGUGAAUAUAAGAAGCUAUUUUCAACUGAAAAGUCCCUAGAAGAGAUUUCGGAACAAAGAGGAGUAAAUCAACAGGAUCUAAUUGUGAGGAGCAGAUGAUACAUCUCCAGGUGGAACUCAAAUGUGAAAUUGCAGAAGUUUGUCUUUGGUACCAAGUGCAAAGAGUGAGUAAUGUGGUGAUCAGAGGAAAGGCUGACUGUCUGGAAAGAAGCUGGGCCCAGUAAACCAGAGGUUGAGAGAGGACACAGUUGCUAUCUAUAAAUAUAUUAUGAGGUGACUACUUCAUCAAGUUGGCUUUUCGCUUGGAUAGAAGAACCAGAAAAUGAACCUGGCACUAGAGGAAGCCUGUGUUCCUUCCACAGCUGGGGAAAGCAGCGGGCCUCUCUAAAGCAAGAUUCACAGAAGCAUAUACCAGACUCUUGAUGCUGGAUGUGAAAGCAGAAACAAUUUACUGUUUUAAAACAACGAGCCUGUUCCUCAGGAGACACUGGUAAAAUUCAUGUGAAGGCACGCACUAGCUUCCUUGACUGCAAUGCAAUCCAAACUCAGGUUUGAAGACCCAACACUCAGAGUAUUGCAUCAAGCUGAGAAUGUGUGGGUUGCUGUCCUCUGCUCAGCUGCUUGUCUCACCUCUUCAGCAAAAACUGUUUCUGGUUGCUUUGGAGAAAAGCGAGGGGAGCUGUCCUAUGAAAUGACAGGGAAGCUCUUGCAGAGCAGCACAGAGGUUAGGGAUACCCCUUGGAUGAAGGCAUUCACGCUCUGUGCCAACUCUUGGGCUCCCAUCCAGCUCCCACUGUCCACCAUAGCUCCUCUGUCUCCGGCCAUGAGACGCCACCAACACUGGCUGUCCUUGGCCCCAUCACUUCCCAAGCUCAGCAGGACUCAGUUCACUGGCCUGAAACAGUAGAAUAAAUCUCACAGUUUUUCCCUCACAAGGUCUAAUCCUUCAGUUUUCAUGACGGCAGUUUUCCUGUUGAUUUCAGCAGAAGUGGUAUCUGAAGAUGAAUGGCAGGAUAAUACCCAUUUGAAAUAUAAGUGGACAGCAGCACCAGAUCAAGUGGGUGGUGAAAAGAGACUGAAUGGAAAAUGAUGACAGGGCAAAAAUAUCCCUUCCUACCAACAUCUUCAAUGUUUUUCCAGGCAUUUGUUAAGCAAUGAAGAGGGUCUCUCCCUACUUAAUGUAAUUUAGUGAUAAUUCUUUGAAAAGAGAAAAGAUCCUUUCACAGCUGUAUCAACAAUAUCUUCCCUCUUAAAAGAAAACAGCAGCUGACUUGACAUGUCAAGCAUCACAUAUUUGGCCAUGGAAGGCAAGCAUAAGCCAGACUGGCCAAUAGCACUGACUUGGAACAAUGCCACUGAAAAGUUGGUUGUAAACUGAUGCUACCUUAUUUCUUGGAUCGUAGAAGGGCUUGCUGAGAUUUAGCAGCAAUGCAGAACUACCACAUUCCUGGUAGAUAUUUCUUUUCUUGUUACAUGAGAUCCAUGCAUGAAGUGAAAAAGAACAAAUGAACAUCAGGUUUACAUCACCACUGAUAUGUGAAUGAUUGAUCACCCAUUAAAUCACAUACAGAGCUGGUAACAGCACACGGGGUAGUGUUAAAGUAAAAUGUUUGAUAUUCUUUACUCUAAUUAAACAUGGAAAUAAUACGAUGCAGUCUGUAUUGUAAAUGUUAUUGCAGAUUAUAGACCUAAAGGAGAGGUGUUAUGCCACCUUUAUAGCCUCCAGUUCCUGGAGACUGUGACUUAGAGCUGCCUCAGGGCUGCCCUAAAUUACACCAGUUGGUAAUGACUCCCAAAGGGCCGCUAUGCAUCCAGUGGUUGCUGGAGUGUAAAGUACUUUGGCUAUGCCAACAGCCCAUCAUUUCACAAUGGAGGCUGAGAGCAGCUGGCAUAGUGCUUGGAGAAAAUCCCCAAGUAGUGGUUUAAGACAUUUUUCGAACUCUUUUUUUGUCAUGAGAGUGAUAUAAAAUAAAGGCCAGAUUUCACAAACACACAGGGGCUUUUUCUUUAUUAUUUAAGCAUCUGUAGUCGUGAGUUGAUAAACUGAGAGAUGAGGGUUUCUAUAGGAUUUCAGAGCAGGUAUCAACCCAAUACUGCUUCAGCUUGGCAGCAUUCCAGCUCUCUGCCCUGGCCCCGAUUCCCUGCGUGGUGCAGUGGAGCACCACUGGCUGUCAAAGGCAUACUCCUGGUUUACAUCUCUGUUAGUGAAAGGAGAACUGGAUUCCCCCUUGUAAGCGUCAGUUUUUCAAUUUAGGAUCAUAUUCCAUUCUUCAGUGGAGCUGCCAAAGAUAAAACUUGACUUUCCACAUGUAAAAUGUUUUUGUAAAUGUAUGUGUGACUCAUUCAAUAGCUCAGCACAUCCACACUCACUGAGUGAUGAUUUUUCUGUGCAGUGUGUGGGUGGGCUGACCAUUCUUAAGCAAAUCUCAAAUAUAAAAAAGUCUUCUUGAAAAUUAGGACAUAAUAUUGGCAGUUUGGGGAUUUUGUUUUGAUGUGAUGCUCAGUUAAAGCAUCCCAAAGAUAAAAGCUGACUACUAGCAGCAGAAACUCGUAACUGACAAACUGAGCUGAUGCAGUCAAAAAUUCAGCUGACUGUGUUUCCAAAUCUCUCAGACAACAAGCCACUGCUGAUGAUCUCACUGUAAGUUCUACGAAACAUAAUAAAAAAUACAGUAAUUGACAGAGAUAUCACAGGUAGGAAACAUACAAACCCUUUGGGCAGGUACAGGUUGGUGUUGUUCUUGGAUAAAUUUACUAGGGAGAAGACAGUAUCUUUUCUGUUUUAAAAAGAGCUUUUUUAAAAAGUCACCAAACUCCAGUAUCACUGAGGAGAAGAACGAUUUUAUGGAGAAAUUUUUCUGGAUGUGAAUUCAUAAAGGACUCGCUGUCAUAUUGUAUGGAGGAAGUGUUAAGACAGAGGGCUGAGCUGUAACCAUCCUAACGGGAAGAAAAAACUAGCGUUCCCUUCUCUUUUGCUGAGUUCUUCAAGCCAGCCCUGGCUAGCAGAUCUGAGUAGGGUGGCAAAAAGUCAAAAGAAGGACUGAUUAAAGAAGCUAACAUUGCAUCUUGUCUGCUCCCUGACUGUGCAUCCUUCUGUGCACGUGGAAGAGAGAUGGUCUGGCAUUUCUGUCUCUCCCUGCAAGACUCACAUGGUGGUGAGAGAACUUGUUUAGUGCCUUGUAUAUAUCUGCUCACAGAUGGAAACAUGAUUUCCCAAAAAAGGUGAGGAAAGUGGACCAUCAAAUGGUAAAAUAAAACAUAAUAAAAAUGGUCAUAAAAGGAGAUCAUCUGGCCCAUCGUUCUGCCUGAAGGCAGGAUUGACUUCAGCUAAGUACAUUCUGAUAGCCAUCUGUCACUCUAUUUUUUUAAUUAUUAAAUGAUUUUUAAUAGUUCGAACACCUGUUAUUAUCCUCUAAGCAAUCCAUUGCAGCGAUUAGCUAUUAUUUCUGCACCCUGGAAUAACAUUGCUGAACUAGAACUAACAUGAGCCAAAUACUGGAGGUCCAUCACUUGUUACACUUACUUCUUUCACUAGAUCCUUUCUGGGGUUUGGAAAGAAGGAAGCCUAAUUAAAAUUACAUGACGUGCACCCCCCCUCGCCCCCCAUAUCAAAGGAUCUGGGCCAUAAUUUCUGUUGAUGUAAUGAUUUAAACUUGACUAAAUUCCUUGGAUGGCUAAGGAUUUAUUUUGUAUUUCCUCGGGAGCUGGAAUACAAUAACUGAGGACAGGAAAGUGUUUCGUUAAAAUAUAAAAGCAACUGAUUUUGUCUCCUGUGUACUUCUAAAAAUUUUUCUGAAGACAGAAAGUUUGGGUAACUAUGUAAUUAAAGAGAGCUAAAGGAGGGACAGUAAUGAACAAAUACCAUUAUUUUUGCCAUAGUUCUUGAGAAAGCUAAGGUAGAGCUGCAGAAAAUCUGUUACAGUGAUGCACUUUACUUAGCAUGGGAGUUCAUGCAGUGCAAAGAGCUUAAUGUGUGCAGCUGAGCUGGGCCUAAUGGGCAUCAGUUGUUAUCUGUGGAAAUGGAGUCUGUUAGAAGGAGGCUGGCUACUACACCCGUCUGAGAUGGCUAGUGGGAUUUUCAAUGUACUAGUGACCUUUUCUUACUCAUUUUGCUGAAUUUUUAUCCAAUAAAAGCCAUCACCUGCCCAAUAUACCCAAGUCUGUAUUGUGCAUUCUGAGCCCAUUGGUGAGGGUGUAGUGAGAAGCAGAUGGAGAGGAGGGGAAGAUUGUAGAGAUGGAACAGGAGGUGGAGAACAAGGGGAGCUGCUGAAAGCCGUACACACUCAAGCACUCUCACAUUUUUACACAUCCUUUUAAGUAUGCUUUUAUACAUACAUGUAUAUGCAUGUAUAUACAAAGUGCAUUUUACACAGUAUUUCUCUCCCAGAAAUGCAGAAAUGCUGUGAAUCUGCCAAUAGGCAUUACAUGCUUCCUUAUGCUAGGAAAAUUCUUAAGGAAAAAAAUUCUAUACCUGUUGUAAAUUGAUCCAGUUUGAUAAGAAUUUUGCUUAUUAAUUAUAUGCCUUAUAAAGCUCCUGGCAUAUGAGGAAGUUACAGAUAAUUGUGAGUAAGUAAGUAGGGAAGUGUAAA